rnacentral:rRNA from 1 species
UGGGGAAUAUUGGACAAUGGGCGAAAGCCUGAUCCAGCCAUGCCGCGUGUGUGAAGAAGGUCUUCGGAUUGUAAAGCACUUUAAGUUGGGAGGAAGGGCAUUAACCUAAUACGUUAGUGUUUUGACGUUACCGACAGAAUAAGCACCGGCUAACUCUGUGCCAGCAGCCGCGGUAAUACAGAGGGUGCAAGCGUUAAUCGGAAUUACUGGGCGUAAAGCGCGCGUAGGUGGUUUGUUAAGUUGGAUGUGAAAUCCCCGGGCUCAACCUGGGAACUGCAUUCAAAACUGACGGACUAGAGUAUGGUAGAGGGGGGUGGAAUUUCCGGUGUAGCGGUGAAAUGCGUAGAUAUAGGAAGGAACACCAGUGGCGAAGGCGACCACCUGGACUAAUACUGACACUGAGGUGCGAAAGCGUGGGGAGCAAACA